GCAGGACACGUUCCAUGAUAAGAUCUUUGACUGCACAUGGUUCUAAAAUUUCGGUUGGUAAUAAGAGUGAUGACAUCGUAAUUCUUUUUUGGAUGAGGUGACUACACAUGAUAAGCAUAUCACCAAUACAGAAUUUCUCUCCAGCACUCACCUCAUCCAAUGAAAAAAUACAAUGUCAUCACUAUUAUUAUCAACAGCAAUUCUAGAAUCAGUCAAAGAUCUUAUCAUGGAACAUGUCCUAC
rnacentral:pre_miRNA from 1 species